rnacentral:rRNA from 1 species
AUGAUACUACUUGAUGAAGAGGGCACUAUGAUACAUGGCAAGGUAAUGAAACAUAUGGUUAACAAGUUUAGACCAUUGAUCCAAGAAGGUUUAGUGUACAUGAUAGCAAAUUUUAAGGUUACGCCUGCAAUGAAUUUCCGUCCAGUUUAAAGUGAAAAGAUUCUAAAUUUCUUGCACACGACAAAAAUUCAAGAGAUAAAAGGUCUAAAAAAUAUCAGAAUAACAGCACAAAGCUUCACGUUUUGCAGUGUUGAAGUUCUUUCCACAAGAGAUGACCAGAAGAUUUACUUAUCUGAUGUCAUUGGCAUAGCAAGUUACAUAGGACAUAUUGAAGAAACACAGACAAUCCAUGGGAUUACAAAGAUUCGAGAUAUUGUCCUUUGA